GUGGUCGGAUGCUGAUACCGUUGCUUGCAAAGAGUACGGUGGCUCCAGCAAACUAUUCCGAGCAAGCGGAAGCAAAUGUAUAAUAAAUACUUUAACAGAAAAAACAAUCUUCUCCAUGUCUGUUCCGAAAAAUUUCACCAAUAAUCGAAGCGCAAACUAUUCCCAUUGCCCGCCCAACACGGCGGGAUACGGCAUCGAUACGGGCAAGGUUAAGGCGUAGUAUCCGAUCAUGUAGAAAGGGAGGACUUACUACAGUUGUUUAGACUCCAAUGCAGGGGUGUAUGUGUGUGUGUGUGUGUGUGUGUGUGUGUGUGUGUGUGUGUGUGUGUGUGUGUGUGUGUGUGUGUGUGUGGGUUAGUAGGUUGUUUACAAGAUUGCACCGUUCACCGUAGCGCACCGCACCCCGAGCCUUGACGCAGCGUCCAGCAUUGUCAGUUACCACAAACCAGAGAGCGAUUCUGCUGAUGGCGGCGGUGGUGGUGGUUUUGCAAACAACCUAUCAACCCGACACACUCACGUGGGCCCGUCCCACGGCAGCACGAUCGUUAGGGUGGACAAUCAAGUGGCGAAAGGGCCACACCACCAGUACCAUUUCGCUGCCAUUCCGGUGACAAGUUCCGACAGGUCCAGGGAUUUAUAAUACCCUACCGCACAUCUCGUGCAAUCAAAACCUUGACCAAGAGCCUCUGUAUUUAGAGGCCAGGAUCAUAAAUCGUGUGGGGCUUGUGGCAAAAGUGCGCCGCCCCAUUAAUUCCGCGGAACUGGCCCUACGGACUUAUCAGUGCAAAAUGAUACCAGCAAAGGGCCAUGUUUAAAGUGUGCAGCAAUUAAUGGAGCAGCACUGUGUUUGUCGAUUGCACCGCUCAGAUUGCGGAUUGUUUUUGCAUCGUCAUGCGUGUUUUUUUUUUUUUUUUGUUAUUUUGCACGCAAAGCAACGAGGAAGUGGAAUGGCACAUUGAUGCAGUUGCAUAACAGGGUCUUCUGUUUUGGAUUGCUUGGAUCUUCUGCUUUGGAUUCUUAACUAAAUAUCCCACAAUGUUGAGCGACAGGCAGCUAAAACAAACACAAAGUGGAAUUCCUAUCAACCGUCUAAUAGAUACACCGUUGACGGAAAGCCUCAACCCACCCCCCCGUGAUCGACCGGAACAAAAACAGGAGGAGAAGAAAAAAAGAACCCGCUCUUCAGUAGAUAGGAAUCUACGCAGUUCGUAGCAGCGUUUGGCCGUUCGGUACCAAACAAAACCAUCACCUCUCCGCACAACUGUUUGUGCGGACAGAAAUAAAUAACAAAAUGCGCACGGAUCUGUUGCCGUAUUGGACUACAAAGCAGAAAUAAAAAAAAAAAACAAUUCGAGAGCAACGCGUGUGACACACCAGGCACCUCCAUCGUGUACGUCAAUGCCGAGUUCAUGCUGCUGACGUCCGCCUUGCCUGACACGGGGCGCAUUCUUGUGCUUUACUUUACUUACAAAGGGAUGGUUUUAAUCAUUUGCAGCGAGCUUACACAAAAUUGUAUGGAAAUAAAAUCUUCGGUCAACCUAAAGGGUUUUGUUUUUAAAGGUUUUUGCUUUCUUUAUCCGUUUUUUUCUCUGUUUAUACUAAAAGCCCUCACCGGUUUCUCUCUCUCACACUCUCUUCUGCAUGGUUGCCGGUAUGUGUUUUCUCAAACACCAUCGACCGCCAAGGUUAGUAAAGGUCACCGGGCGGAACAAGCGAUGCACACAAGCACCACAGACACGAAACAUAUUUCGGCAAAAGCAUUUUGCGGCCAACCGCCUCGAGCCGGCUCUGUCGGUGUG